rnacentral:lncRNA from 1 species
GGUUACUCUAUACUGCAUCCCUUUUGUCAUGCUUCAGUAAUUCCCUAAAUAUAAUAUCAACCAAAUUUGUCCCACAAAAAGGGGGGCCUAUGCAUCCUCUAAAUCCUAUUUAUAAGUGGUCGAUAUUAAACUGGCCUAAGCAUAAACUUUAACAUAUAAACAGAAAACUGCAAAAGAUUGUAAGUUAUAAAACCAUGAUUUAGCGUUCAGGAUUAUUAAAAUCCCUAAGCACAUGCAUUGUCCAAAAGCUUAUUCAACUGCAUAUAAAUUAUCCCUGACCUACUUUUAGUGGUUCUCCUUAAACUGGACUUAUCACAAAUAUUUCAGUGUAAACAAAGGAAAUUUUCAAAGUCAAUAUGCCAUUACUGAGAGGCUGGUGAGGAGGGCGAUGCUCAAUGGGAUUGAGAUAUAUAUAUAUGUGUCCAUAACACAUUAUACUCUGCUUCCACAAUCAGAUUUCCAUGUUCAGUAACUUAUUUGUAAUUGUUUAAAAAACACUGACUUAAAUGAACACUUGAAAGUACAAAGUUUCAAGUUUAUUUGACCAUUACAUCAUAGUAAACUAUUGUACACAAAACCUUAACCUUCUCUACUGUUGUACAUCUUGAAAACAAAAUAAUUGAUAAAAACUAGUUUCAACUCAUUAUUUCAAAUGCCAAUGAAAUUUUAAAAUAGGAAUGAAAAAAAAAC